GGUGCUUCAUAGAAUAUUGGUGACAUUCAUCAUUUUCUUACAGUUCUCUCUCUUAGAAAGGUAGUUUCCAUCCUGCUCAGCGAUUCAUGUCCAGAACACAAAGUAUUCUAUUUCGGGGUGUACAAGGUCUGUAUGUCUUUAGAUCUUCAUCUGAA
rnacentral:lncRNA from 1 species